rnacentral:lncRNA from 1 species
CUGGAUGAUGUAAAGCUUGACUUUCUCAAAUGAGUUGUGCAUACUCUGUAAAAUUUAAGAAACAUGUUAUAAGAAGGAAAAUCUCUAUUUUGGAGAGCCAAAUCAGCUCCAACUACACAAUGGACAUCACACAACAACUAUAGAAUUCAAUUCACCCAAUUGAUGGUAAAACACCCCUAAAUAAUUGGUGCUAGGGGAUAGGAGCAUGGUAGCCCACAAGAAUGCAGACAUCAACUUACAUGGCUUACAUGCACAGGAUAGAUAGCAAGGCAAGUCGCACACUUUCUAGACUGAUGAUGUCGUAACAAUGAAGAGUAAUUUUACAACUAACUUUAAGUCAAUCACCCAAUGUAGAUUCUAUUUUUAUUGUCCUUCCUUUGUUAGUCUUCUUUUCUUUUCCUUUCCUUUUCUUUUUUUCUCUUUCCCCACAAUUGAUAAUUAUUUCAUUUUGUUGACACAAUAAAAAUUGAAAGUAGGGACAAGCCUUGUUGCUUCAGGGUAAAAAAAAUGAAGUCAACCUUUUAAACAAUUUGUCAUGUUGGGAAGUAAUGCUAGAUGGAUUCCCACCCAGGUUUAUUAGGUAUUUGACCCUUCUCAUUACAUAAACUGACAAUAAGGCUCUGAUCUAUGGAUGGUGUAAAACUUGAGAAAGAAUAAUAUAGAAACACAAUGUUGGCUUUGUUUACUUAGCAUAAAAAUAUCGCAGAAUUUUGUUACCUUCUUACCUAGUUCCACUAUCAGUUCAAUCCAAUCCUCAUAGUCUUGUUGAAAAAUUCCAUUCUCAUAGGCCUAUCGACAUAUUCCAUUAGCAACAUUUCAAUUUUCCUAGAACCACUCUCUCAUCUUCACAAAUAUUACAUACAACUACUAAAGCUAAACUUGUAGGCCUGUGAACUAAACUCCCAAACAUUUUGAAAUACUGAUGUGUUUGACACCAAACUUUAGUACAUUCCCAGAGUCUUUGGAGUUGUAGCUAAGCUGAGAAAACAGUCAUGAAAACAUAAACUAUACAAUUUUGAAAACUGUGCAUGAAGUGAGUCCAUAAUUGCGAUCAUAGCAGUAUGCAUAUUCAAAUUAGCAACCGAGGUUUCACAAGGCGCGCUAGGAAAGCAAUGAUCUCAAAAUGCACAUGAUGGCUAAAUAAUAUAGUAUAAAUGAUAACCAUAUGUGUUUAGAGUUCUAAUGGUAACCAUAAUAUAUAUAGUAUACUAUGCAUAACUUCUCAUUAUUCAAUAUAUUUGAGAUGCAAAUAGUGACAAGCCAAAAAAUAUCACCGUAGACAAAUUAAAUUAGACCUAGAAAGUAAAAAAGAAUAUUUACUUUUCUAGAGAUUAUUUAGUUUGGUAGGUCUUUACCGCCCUGUUUCACGGUGAACAUCUCCUAUCACAUAUCACAGGGAAACUUCCAUGCUUCCAGGUCACCAUGCCAUGGCCGGAUGGCCCUACUUAAACUCCUUCUCGUUCUUACUCCGGUUCCAGUUAAGAAAACCCCCUCUUCUCCCAAUUAUUGUCCAAUCUUACAAAAAAUCAUCACCACAUCAUGCAGCGGGUCAAAACCCAUGCCAAAUAUACAACUGCAGUAGUGCCGAACAACAAUGCUUUCAGUAAUCAACACUACUCACAGAAAAAAUGACAAAUUGAAAAAGCUUGCAUGAUGGACUGGAGAAAAUAAUAUACCUCUCUCAAAUAUAACUUGGAAAUGAGUUCGUAGACCUGUACGUAUACCUCUCAGAUAUAUCCUUCAGGCUCAGAUUCCUGGAAAUGAGUUGCAAUAAGGAAAUCACUCAGAAAUAUACUUCGAACAAAGAGAAAAUCAACAGAAGUCAUAAUCAAUGCCGAACUAUCACCAUCAUGUUGCGCUUACUCCCUAAAAACAACCUGCACUUACUGAGACAGCAAACCAAUUUUUCCUCCCCUCUAAUCCGACAAUUUGGUGAGACGUCGUGUGUGGCAAGCUGCCUGCUGCAAAGAGCUAUCGAGGGGCCGAGGGAGGGAACGAGCUUUGUUAGCCAACAAAGGAAUAGACGAAUGCAAUCACACAUGUAUCGAUCAGUCGAUGUACAACUAUUGUCAUUGUCAAAAUCAAUUACAAGGUAAUUCAGUAGUAAUAAUGAACCUCCUAUGUCACAAGGUCAAGACCAACUAAUUUAUUCAAUAGUACACUGAUUUUUGUUAACACUCUUGGUUGAUACAGAUAAUGAAGAUAAUGGUUUCUUUUACAAUCCUCUACAAGUAUAAUAAGACUACUCAGAGAAAAAAAUGACAAAUUGGAAAAGCUUGCAUGAUGGAGUGGACAAAAUAAUAUACAUCUCUCAAAUAUAACUUGGAAAUGAGUUCGCAGACCUGUACGUAUACCUCUCACAUAUAUCCUUCAAGCUCAGGUUCCUGGAAAUGAGUUGCAAUAAGGAAAUCACUGAGAAAUAUACUCCGAACAAAGAGGAAAUCAGCAAAAGUCAAAUUCAAUGCCGAACUCGUCACCAGCAUGUUGCGCUUACUCCCUAAAAAACAACAUGCACUACCAAGACAACAAACCAAUUUUUCCUCUCCUCUAAUCCGUCGACUUGGCGAGAUGUCAUGUGUGGCGACCUGCCUGCUACAAAGAGCUGUCGAGGGGCCGAGAGAGGGCACGAGCUUUGUCAGCCAGUAGAGGAAGAGGCGAAUGCAAUCACACAUGCAUUGAUCCAUCGAUGUAUAACUAUUGCCGUCAUCAAAAUGAAUUAGAAGGUAAUUAAGUAGUACUAAUGAACCUGAUAUGUCACAAGAACAACUAAUUUGUUCAGUACUACACUGGUUUUUGUUAAAACUCUUGGUUCAUACCAUAGUUUUAAAUAGCCGGCUAUAGCCCCGCUAUAGCCUUUUCAGUAGGGUGCCGCUAAAUGGUAUCACGUACGAAUAUGCCGCUAUAGCCCGAUAUAGCCCGCUAUAGCUGAUUUUCAGGUCUGCCGCUAUUUGCCAUAGCCCGCUAUUUAAAACAUUGGUUCAUACAGAUAAUGAAGAUAAUGGUUUCUUUUACAAUCUUCUACAAGUAUAAUAAGACUACUCAGGGAAAAAUUGACAAAUUGAAAAAGCUUGCAUGAUGGACUGGACAAAAUAAUAUACCUCUCUUAAAUAUAACUUGAAAAUGAGUUUGUAGACCUGUAGUCUUGUACGUAUACCUCUCAGAUAUAUCCUUC